AGAGUUUGAUCCUGGCUCAGGAUGAACGCUGGCGGCGUGCCUAAUACAUGCAAGUCGAACGCUUCACUUCGGUGAAGAGUGGCGAACGGGUGAGUAAUACAUAAGUAACCUGGCAUCUACAGGGGGAUAACUGAUGGAAACGUCAGCUAAGACCGCAUAGGUGUAGAGAUCGCAUGAACUCUAUAUGAAAAGUGCUACGGGACUGGUAGAUGAUGGACUUAUGGCGCAUUAGCUAGUUGGUAGGGUAACGGCCUACCAAGGCGACGAUGCGUAGCCGACCUGAGAGGGUGACCGGCCACACUGGGACUGAGACACGGCCCAGACUCCUACGGGAGGCAGCAGUAGGGAAUUUUCGGCAAUGGGGGAAACCCUGACCGAGCAACGCCGCGUGAAGGAAGAAGUAAUUCGUUAUGUAAACUUCUGUCAUAGAGGAAGAACGGUGGAUAUAGGGAAUGAUAUCCAAGUGACGGUACUCUAUAAGAAAGCCACGGCUAACUACGUGCCAGCAGCCGCGGUAAUACGUAGGUGGCGAGCGUUAUCCGGAAUUAUUGGGCGUAAAGAGGGAGCAGGCGGCACUAAGGGUCUGUGGUGAAAGAUCGAAGCUUAACUUCGGUAAGCCAUGGAAACCGUAGAGCUAGAGUGUGUGAGAGGAUCGUGGAAUUCCAUGUGUAGCGGUGAAAUGCGUAGAUAUAUGGAGGAACACCAGUGGCGAAGGCGACGAUCUGGCGCAUAACUGACGCUCAGUCCCGAAAGCGUGGGGAGCAAAUAGGAUUAGAUACCCUAGUAGUCCACGCCGUAAACGAUGAGUACUAAGUGUUGGGAGUCAAAUCUCAGUGCUGCAGUUAACGCAAUAAGUACUCCGCCUGAGUAGUACGUUCGCAAGAAUGAAACUCAAAGGAAUUGACGGGGGCCCGCACAAGCGGUGGAGCAUGUGGUUUAAUUCGAAGCAACGCGAAGAACCU
rnacentral:rRNA from 1 species